rnacentral:tRNA from 1 species
GCCUUCGUGAUGUAAUGGUCAGCACACUGAGCCGGUAUUUCAGAGGUCCGCGGUUCGAUUCCCGGCGAAGGAA